rnacentral:misc_RNA from 1 species
UUUAGAAAUAAGUGAAAUAUAUAUCUAUAAAUGGAAGGUGCACCAGCUAGUAGAGGUGGAUUUCGCGGUGGUCGUGGUGGUCCUGGUGGUCCUAUGAGAGGACGCGGAGGUUUUGGAGACAGGGGAAGGGGUGGACCUCCAAGAGGAGGAGGAGGUAUGAUGAGAGGUGGUAGAGGUAGUGGACCUGGAGGUGGUAUGAGAGGUGGACCACCUGGAAUGAGAGGCAGAGGUGGUCCUCCUGGUAGAGGUGGUCGUGGUGGUGGACAUUUUCCUCCUGGAGGACCACCAGAUCCAGGAAUGUCUACUGGUCCAGGAGGUGGUGGACCACCAUUGCCAGGAAUGGGAGGUCCACCACGUGGUGGCAGUAGAGGAGGUGGAAGCAGUGGUUUUCGAGGUAGAGGAAGAGGUGAUUUUGGUAGAGGAGAUAAUCGUGGAGGUAGUAGUAAUUUUCGAGGUAGAGGAGGAAUGGAUAGAGGCAGCAGAGGUGGAUCUAGGGGAGGAUCUGGCAGAGGUGGUCCAGGAGGCAGAGGUUUUGGAGAUCGUGGGAAUAGAGGUAGUGGACGUGGUGGUGGUGGUCCAUCAAAAAGAGGUGGUGGACCUCCAGGUUCGAGUGGACCUUCAAAAAGACCAAGAUUUGAUCAACCAUCUUCUCAACCUGCAAAUGGUUAUGCAACACAACCACCAAGUCAAGGCGGAUAUGGAGGAAGUACUAGCAAUGCUUAUGGUGGAGGACAACAACAACCACAACAGCAACAGCCUGUGGGAUAUGGUGGCGGUUAUGGAUCACAAAAUUAUACUCAAUCAUCAUAUCAAAGUUAUGAAAGUUACCAGCAACCUCCAGAUUAUGGUCAAACAGCUGGAUAUCCACCAUCAGCAGCUACUGAUAGUAGGUAUGGUGGAGCACCUACUGUACCAGCUACAGGAGCUUUCAGUGCUGGUGAUCCUUAUAGUUAUGGCAAAGCACCACCAUCAGAUUACUCGAGUCAAGAUGGUGUAUAUGGAAAACAAGAUUAUGGCGUAACAACAACCUGAGAUACUUAGGGAACAGAAUGAAAGAAAGAGAGAGUACCUUCCCUCUGUUACCAGCAAGGAGAAUACCGAUUCACACAAAUAACUAUACAAAUUUAUAUGAAUAAAUGACGACUGUAUCAUAAAUGUUAUUAAUGUCCAAUGGUAUCAGGUAUCACAUAAAUGAAGCCUAGAAAAUAUUGUUUUUUCUGUUAGAGUAUAUUAUGAUAUCUUUCAUUAAUUAGAAUGUCUUUAUUUAAUUUUUCUAAGUGACUAAAAAAACAUUUGAUCUUUGUGAUGCAUCUUUUUUUCAUUCAAGCAAUUCUUUUUCAAUAUAAUAAAUAAUAAUCAGCAUCACUCAAUCUAUUAUUUUCCAACUUAUCAUAUGCAAAAAUUUAAUUGCAUCUUGUACAUAUAUAUACAUAUAUAGAUAGACAACGAAAGCAUAUUUAAAAUGAAAAAGAAAAAGAUAAACAUUAUAUAGAAAAAAAAGCAAUGGAAAAGCAAGCAACAAGAAUAUCGAAUUAAAUCUAUGCUAACAUGUAUUACGCUCAUAUAUAUUAAAAGACAAAUGCUCGAGUAAACCUCAACCCGAAUUCAGGUAUAAAAUAUAAUAUAUAUGCAACAAUUUUAAAAUUCUAUUCCCGCUUUAUACAUACGAUACCUGCAGUAUAUUUUUAAAUUAUAAUAAUGACAAUAAGGUAACAAUCGAAAGGUACACAUUAAAAAUUCUUUUAAAGAACACAUUUGUUUAUAAACACACACUAUGAUUUAUAGUGACGUUAAAAUAAAA